CCAUUAAAAUCGCAUUGAAGAGUAGGUAAGGGUACGGGAAGAUGUCUAUGCUGGAAUGUUAGUUUUCGGUAUAAUGAGAGCCUCAUCAUGUAAAAACAUGUAUGUAGGGCGUAUACCUAUGUGUGUGUGUGCGCGCAUCAUGAAAAGACUAGAGAAAAUGCACCAGGAUAUGGAGAGCGGUUAUCCCUGGGAAAUGAGACAAUCAUGGGAUUUUUUUUGUCUCUUUUAUAAGGAUUCUGUUUUCCCCUAAUUCUCUAAAUGAGCAUGUGUGACCCCCAUCUCAGAUGCUACAGACUUUGCUCAGGGGCAAAGAGGGGGACCUGUGUGAGUCUGAGCCCCGAGCCUGGGAGAGCCAUGGUCCUGUGGGGUCCUGCGGGCAGCAGACGGUAGCAAGGAAAGACACACGCUCUGGGUUCAGCCAAAUCUGCACUGGUUUCCCGGUUCUGCUACUGAAAUACUGUUGACCUUGGAUGGGUUUCUUUAUUUCUAAAAGCCUUAGUUUCCUCACCUGUGAAAUGGGGAUCACUAUAGCACCUGCAGGACUGUAAGGGAGAUAAUAAUAGAAGGAGUUUGCAUUGUCCCUGCCGUGUAGUAGAUUCUCUGUAAUCGGUGUGUGUGUGUGUGUGUGUGUGUGUGUGUGUGUGUGUGUGUGUGUUAUGCAUGCAUGUGUGGAUCCUGAUAAAUGGAUCUAAGAACAUUUUCACCGCUCCCUUCUUAAAACUUAGGUCUACCUUUAUCACCCAAAGUGUCCACUCUGUUCACAACCAUGUGCCUGGACCAUGGCUUCCCUCGGCCAGGCACACUUUGCAAGGUGGAAAAGUCAAGAACAGUUGCAAAUACCAUCUUACUCCCCUCAAUAAGGAAAUGAUACCCUUGAAAGGAAGCUGCCAUCACCAUCAUCAUCCCAAUGUAAGGAAUGGAUGAGGUCCAGGUGUUUUUCUGGAAGCUCAGAGCCUGGCCUGGCCCCUGCCCCCCUCUGCUGCUGGUUCCCUCCUCUGGACUUGCUGUGCUCAGGAAGCAGCUGUUCGUGUACCUGACUGUACCCUUUCUGGAAAGCACUGCUGUGGCUGUUAGGUGAGCUGGCUGGAAGGGAGGGGAUAAUGGACAUGGCUGUAAGGCCAGUGACUGAGGCCGUGAUGGGCUUUGCAGGCCACGCUGGCAGCGGGGAUGGGCGCCUUUGCUGAGCCAUCCCACACUUGCGCCGUGGGGGUGAUGCCGGCAAGAACAACAGAGCACGGGGCCAAAUGCAAAUUGUUUUAAAACACACAAAUGAACUUGGUUCAGGUGGUGCCAGAGAAUUCUUGAUUUCAGCAGAGAGUUAUUUUGUGCACUUUUACUGCGAUCAUCCAAUAAAAAUGCAACUGUUCAUAGAGACAUUAGGUUGUCGUUUUAGGAGAUGCUGUCAAGGAAAGCAGGCCACAAAUUUCACCCAAUUUGCCAAACUGAUUUUAGUGGCUUUUUUUUUUCUUCAAAGCACAUCAGACCUUCAAAUCUGUGUGCUUUUUCUUUCUUUGUGAAAUUGUUACUCUGAACAUUUAGAAUCAAUCUGAUGAAGCGACACUCACCUUGAGCCACGCAAGGGGCCGUGGUGCCUCAGGGAGGGGCUCCCAGGUCUGUGGCAUGAGUCCUAAUCCCGCGGAGUUACAGAAAGACAGUACCGAAUAGUAGGAUGUGGAUGGGAAAACGUGGUACAGGCCAUGGGUCCCAUCAGAAGUCAGGGGUCAGGGAACAAAGAGAUGGUGUCACCUGCCAGGUAAGGGACGCCGCCGCUGCCCAGGGCUAAAUUCACGGUGUAUGGCCUGGGCAGUUGCACGGAGCCCUGCGCUUAGAAGGGUCCUGCACGUGAGUUAAUGCUCUGCAUCCCCGUUUUGAAAUUCUUAGUCAUUACGAGCCUGGUGCUCUGUAUCUUCAUUUUGUAGCAAAGCUUUCCUUUUCUUUCUGGACACACAGCUAGAGUCCAUCUCUCACUCUCUCUUGCCGUGGGGCAUGGCCAUGUGAAUAAGUUUGACUAAAGGAAUGUGAGUACCAAUUGUAUGCCUGCCCCCCUCUCCCCACGAGCGAGCUCGGGUCAGGCGGUGCUGGAGAGUUCUUGAGCUCAGCAGAGAGUGACUCAUGCGCGUUUACUGCUCAGGGGGUCAUGGAGGCGUGCUUGUGGGAGAUGCUGUCAAGGAACACAGACCAAGCUCCCCCCCUUGGGCUCCCUGGGCUGUGCCCCCCCAGGCGGCUUAGGAAGCCGGUCUGAGGGUGGCGUCGCUGCUGCUGGCUGGGGUCUGCGUGUCCAGCUAACCGCAUGGAGCAGAAGGCUCUUUCUCCCACCGCCCCGUCCCAGCCACUUAGAGCUGCCCUGGACUUUUCACAGGAGCAAAAAAUACACGACUCUGGUGUCGAGAGACUCAGUUCUGUGGUUUCUGCAGCCCCUCCUCUGCAUGCUUCUUUUCAGAGGAAGGAAGGCUUUCUCAGAAGCCUCCCAGCUGACUCCCUCCCUCAGAUCGUGGGCCAGAAUUAAGCUUCUUGUCUGUCCCUACACCAGUCCCCGUCCAGGGAGAGGGCAGUGCCACCAUCAGCUUGGAUAACCAGGACCUGCUCCUGAAGGUCCAGGGCUCCCCAGAUCUCAGCACAGCUGGGCUUCGAACAGUGGGCAGCGAGAGAGAAUUGCCAGUGGGUGGGCAGCCAAACAGGGUUUGCCACAGGGCAGGAAAAGGAAGGCUGUGGGUUUUCUUUUUCCCAGCUUUAUUGAGAGAGAUCAAAUGGACGUAUAACAUGGUAUAAGCUUAAGGUGUACAAGGUGGUGAUUGGAUCCAUGUAUACAUCAGGAAACAAUUACCACAAGAAGGUUAGUUAAUACAUCCAUCACCUCACAUAAUCACAAUUUUUUUUUUGUGGUGAGAACAUCAAAGGUAUACUCUCUUAGCAUCUUUCAAGUCUGUCUUUAAAAAAAAAAGAAACAAGAAAUAUUUGGUUUUGAGCUUCUGAGGCGAGAGAAUGGCCUUUUAUUUAUUUAUUUUUUUGAGCGAUGUAUUAUCCUGUGUCAGUUCUCAUGAGUUGGGGGAGGGGAGGUGAAAAAAUUAUGCAUGUUACCGUGGAGAAGAGACACCUACUCUGUGACCGUGAAGUUUAUCUGACGAUAAGAACUUUCUGUGUGGAUCUUCAAUGAUAACGAUCCCCUUGAACCCUCCAGUGUUCCACCUCGAACGGUCGCAGGGAUACACGGAGGGAAGGAAUACGCAGCGCUCCCUGGGAAUGGCCGUUGAACAGGCCACCGGGCACAGAGCGGUGUAGUGGUGACUGGGGUGCUGGGGAGUCGUCUAAGCUUUCCGACAAACGACUCUCGCCUUUUGGGUUUGGUUUCUAUCAAUCGGGAAUGUCAGCGGCUGCAAGUAACAGCAUAUCUGACUCUGACUGCAGUGGUUUAAAUAACAAGGAUUUUGCUUCUCCUCAUAAAAGAAGACGACUAGAGGUAAGCGGGUGCUGGCCCUGGUUCAGAAGCUCAGUGGUAUCAGUGACAAACUUCUGCAAUUUUCUUGGAGUUCUGCUAACCGUGGCAAGAUGGCCGUUAUAGCCGCAGCUGUCAUGUCGGAAGCAGGAUGAAAGUGGCAAGGAGAGACAUUUUGAGCCCUGCUUUGUUCUCGUGGCUGGGACCAGGUGACGCCCGCCUUGCUGCCAGGGAGGCUGGGGAGUGAGGAGCAGAAGAGUUAAGACUGGCUUAGACCAAUCAUGGCUGUCACCUGGGCCUGUCCUACAGCUACCAAAGUGAGAUUCUUCUAGCAAGAAACAAGGGAGGCAUGGGUACCGAAUAGGCAGCAAAGAGUGUAUGUCACAGUCUGCAAAGACAUUUGAUCUACCAGGAGGGUGGUAAAACAAGGCAAGUGAGAUUUGAACAUCUCCUGGCCACGAGGACAGAGGUUCUGGGUCUGGAACACUUUGCAAUAAAGCCCAGAUCAAGGUGAAAAACCAGAGCAGAGCUCGGAUCUGAGCUGAUGCCAGCGUCCAGAAAUGACUCUCGCAUUCUUGCUGCCUGCGUUUGUCCUACUGCUAAUCCAGUCCCUGUAACUUUAUCGGGGUGUUGAGUCUUUAUAGGACAGGCCAUAAGUGUGGCAGGUUCUCUCUCCAGUCAGCUAGACCACAACAAGAAGGGCUGAAUCGUCAUAUCUGAGCUCUUCUGGCCUGAGCGUGGCAUUUCACGUGCACCCCCAGGGCCUUCGUCGUGUGCUUCCUUCACUGUCUUUAACAACCUAUGUCAUGGGGACAGCUCCAUUCACUCGUCUUCUUCUCUAGGUAUGUGCCUUGAGAGCAGCGCUGCCCAAGAGAAGCGUCAUGUGAGCCGUAUUUGUAACUUUAAACUGUCGGGAAGCUGCCUUUUAAAAAAUAAAAAGAAACUCAUGGAAAUAAAUGAAAAACUAUCUUUUAGUUAAUCCUGUAUAGUAAAAAUAUUAUUUCAACACCUAAUAAUAGAAAAAUCAUUAGUGAGAUAUUUUUCGCUCUUUUUCAUUCCAAGUCUUUGAAAUCUGGUUUGCAUUUACAAACCUGACACAUCUCAAUUCAGACUAGCCAAGCUUCCAGUGAUCUGGUAGGCACAUGCAGCUAGUAGCUACCCUAUGAGAGAAUGCAGUUCUAGAGGACACGCCACACACACUUUCCCUUCAUCUCAAGAUCCCGCAGAACAGUAGAGUCUUAGUAAAUACUGAAAGAACACGUAUGGCCACACUCCUGGGAUUGGGUCUUUCUCAAACAUAGGUAUUUGAGAGGUAGACGAGGAAGCCCUGGAGCAGUGUGGAUGGUAGUCAAGAGCAUGGACUUGGAUACACACCACUUGGUGUGACGUCAUCAUCCGUUGACCCGGAUCAAACCACUUAGCCUCCUUACGCCUCCCUUUGUUUCCUCACCCGUAAAGAGAGACAGCAACAUCUAUCUUGCAAGAUGUCAAGAAGAUUAAAUGGGAGUGCCUGGUACAUAGGGGAGACAGAAGAGGCAGCAGCUCUAAUUAUUUUAAACUAGAUACUCCAUGAGUCACAUGGAGAACUUGGGUUUUAGCAGCAACAGUGUGGUUUGGCCAGAGCAAUGCUGAUGUAAGGUAUGGGUUCUCCCUGCUUUGGGAAUUCUCCUGGGGGAAAUCUUAAAGCAAUUCUUGGUGUUUCUUUUUCUGGUUGUAGCUGGGAAAAGUCACAUGCCAACCAUGGGGCUUGGUAAGAAUGGGCAAAUGCCAGAGGGCGGCCCUUGCUCUGGGAGCUGCUUACUGUUCAUUGUCCCUCCAAAGCCUGAGGGUUCAGCUUUCCCUGGGAACUUCAUGGCUGCCGGGCCCUUUCACAGCAGGGUGAAGACCUGGGUCCCCUUGCCUGCUGCCUUCUGCUCCCACCGGGUCAUCCUCACAUGCCUGACCCCUCUUCUCUGUCCGCCUCUGGGUGCCCACCGAUGUGUUUUGUCGAAAUUAAUUGUCUUGAAAUACGGUUGUUUCAGGCAAUGGAAACAAGGGUUCCAUGAUCAUACCCAGUUUUGAAAACAAAAAAUGGGCAAAACAAGCCAGAUGCACAGUGACAUUAAGGAAAGGAGAGGCUAACUUUAUUAAAAAGCUUCUUUGUGGUAUCAAGCAGGAAAUGAAAUGGCUUUAAAUGGCACACAUUUCUCAAUCAUGUAAUGCACCAGUAACCCUGGCCUUCUUUCUUUUCUGUCCCCUUGAAGGGAAAAACAGUGCCCAGAUACAACUCAGACAAGAGAGGGGAAAGGCACUGAGUCAGUGCAUUGUCACGGAGCCCCAGGGAAGGCUGGUCACCCCUUCUGGGAAGCUUCGCAGGAGGGCCAAGGAUGGGCGUGUGUGCAGGGGAAGGUGUGGGUUCUGUUGCAUGUGUGAACCUGGGCUACCUGAUAGACUCCUGAUGUUUUGUUAAUUCUUCUGACCAAUGGAUUCUCUCAAAUCCGUUGCUGUUGGAAAUACCAUAAACGUCAAAUGUUGGAUUUUAUCUUGUAAAUCCAUUUUUGGAGGCUGGUAAUACCCCAAUCCCCACAUACAACAUUUACUCCUCUUGCCAAAUGCCGUUGUCCUUAUUUCUACUGCAAGUUGGUCUCUUUGCACAGAACACAAAAGCACAGAGAAGCAAAAUUGGCUAAAUCUUUUCUUGAAGAAAAAAUUGCACUUACUUAGCGAGUACCAAAUGAAUACAAAUGAAAGGGGAAACCAAAGAUUGAUGCCACUGAUAGACUCUUGCUUAGUUGCACUUUUUAAGACUUAUUUAUAGAUGUCAAACAGGAUAUGGUACAUGGGAGGUGUUCAGUAAAUACUCCUUAAUUGAUAACCCAGAGAUAUAUUUGAAAAUCUUUAAGGAAAUAGGUAUACUUUCAAAAAAAAAAAAUGGCAGUUAAUUUGAAUCGGUAACAAAAAUGGUGCCAGAUGGAAUCUUGUUGAUUUGGACUGAAAGUCUGGCUAUUAGAAAAUAGCUCUCAAGAGUCAUGAUUUUAGGAUCUCUUCUAAAAAUUCUCAGAUGGUUUCCCACAUCUCCUCAUCGAUCUUUGCACUGCUCUGUGGUAUCAGGUGGCAGGCAUUGUGAUAAGACGCUAAGGAAGUAAAAGGUGUGCCUCAAGAUGUGGUUGGAAGCCGACAUUUCUGGACUUCCAACACCAUUCUUUCUUAUCCUCUCUCCACCUGUGUCCAUACAGCAAAAUCCCCCUGUCCUUAAACGUCAGAGUAGAGGGGUUGGUUGACAUAUCACCUGCUCCUACCCCUGGUGGGGUGUUGGUCACAAGUACUAUAGUUGUUUGCUUCGUGUCUGUGUGUCCCAUGUGGGCUCCUCAAGGGCACAGACCCGGAAUUAUUCACUUUGACUUCCCAGUCACUCCCACGGUGUCUGGGAGGGAAUAGUUAACAAACCCUGGUUGAGUGAAUGAGAAGCAGGUGUAUUAUUCUUUGGUGUUCAGAGUUAUUAACUUGCUUUGUUGGUGGUGUUCGUCGUCGUGCCAUAUUUCUCCUCUUGCUUCCUGUAUUUCCCCUUUCUCCCGAAGAUAAAUAAGGAAGCCAGACUUCUCACCUUGCAAAAGGUUAAUCCUAUUUCUAAAGCCAUUUUGUGGGUUCUUUUGAGAGGCUUGAAAUGUCUCCUGGAUCCCUGGGGAGAAUCCUAGGUGAGGGGCUGGCAAAUGUUGCUGCAAACCAAAGGAACUUGCCCUUGAAGUUAAAUGAAAAGGUCAUUGUGUCCCUUCCCUUUUAAUUUCAAUCCCUGUCAUUGUCAUUUGUCUGGCAGGGAACUCUGCAGGUCAGAAAAGCUUGAUUUCUCCUCCUCCCUGAACUCCUCGUAGCCACUUAUAGUUUGUGAUUUUCUCUUGUUGGUUUUGCUGCUUCAUUGUACUUGAAACAACCUUUUUGAAGAUGGAAAGGGGGGCAGCACAGUCUCUGCAGUGAGCAGGGGACUGUCCUUCCACUGGCUGUGCUGUGCUGAUUUCAGCAAAGUAUUUUUUUAAGCCCUGACAACAAGAGUGCUUUCCCAGGUGGUGCUAUUGUAUAAAUGUUAUAAACAAUGGUACUUGCGGAGCCUAGUACAGCCCGUUUGGCUCACAUUUCUCCAAAAGUGCUCAUGGGCUGCUGGCCGGGUUAUGGUUCUUCCUUGUUUCAAUCCGUCUGAUUCUUCUCAUGCUCAUCAGACCCACGAUUCCCUGUUUGAUAAUGCUCCAACGGUUAAAGGGAAGUACUUGUCAUCUUGGCACCUGGUUUCAGGAACAAAGUACUCACCUCCCAGCUGGGAAGAGAAAAAGUCUCCUCAGGAUGCACAUUAAUUUUAGAAGCUUAAAACUGUUUGGAAAAUCAGGUCCCAACAGGACGGUCCAUGGGAAACUUCUGUGGUUAUCAACCAGCUUCCUCUACCAAAGGAGAAAGCAGCGUGCCCCAGUGCUUCCAGCUGUUGCCAAGGCGACUUCUGCCUCCAUCCAUGUGCCAGGUUCUUUUAGACGUUUGGACGUGACCAAUGAGGAUUUUGGAGAAUACCAGGUCACAAACCUGACCCAAUCUUGAGCCUCAUGGAACCACAGAAUCUGGAGGUGGAAGAGACAAAGGUAUUUGCAUCCCUCCUACCUGUACGGUGGACCCAACGGUGUGCUGUCGCCGUGGCGUCACACACGGGACCUUGAGAUUUGCUAUUAUUCAGUGGGAGUAUUUACACCAAGGAAAUUGGCAAACAUUACAGAUGGAGUUUUUUCUUUUCAACACACCAUGGAUGAGUCACCAUCUUUUAGAGAUAAAGAACGUGAAAGAAACCUACUCCAGCAACCCUCUGUUUCCUGAGAUGAAGAGUCUC